CUACCACACACACUACCACACACACUACCACUACCACACACACUACCGCACACACAGUCAGAAUUUGUCUCAGUAAAUCACCUUGGUUGUUGACUGUGAGGGAAGAUGAAUCUGAACAUGGUUUAUUUAUAUAGACUAUUUUCCAUCUCUACCUGUGUGUGUUUGUGACGUUUUACCUACCUACAGAUCAGACCUGGGGUUCAAAUACUUUUUAAUAGUCGUUUGAAAUUAUUUGAGCGUUUGCUUCAGUCUGCCUCGAAUGCCAGAUGGCCAGGGUUUGUACUUUUGGGACUUUUCUAUUUAUUUAUUUAGUUAUUUUUUCAUGUCGAGAAGCUCAAUCAAGCCUAGAUACUUUUUCUGAAAUUAUGUCGAAUAGUAUUUGAACCCAGGUCUACUACCUGUACUCGCACUGAGUGGACAAAACAUUAAGAACACCUGCUCUUUCCAUAAUACUGACCAGGUGAAUCCAGGUGAAAACUAUGAUCCCUUAUUGAUGUCACUUGUUAAAUCCACUUCAGUCAGUGUAGAUGAAGGGGAGGAGACGGGAUAAAGAAGGGUUUUUAAGCCUUGACACUAUUGAGACGUGGAUUGUGUACGUGUGCCAUUCAGAGGGUGAAAGGUCAAGACAAAAUAUUGAAGUGCUUUUGAACAGGGUUGGUACGUUCCAGGCGCACCGGUUUGUGUCAAUGUAACCGUAUACUUUAGACCGUCCCCUCGCCCCAUACCCGGGCUCGAACCAGGGACCCUCUGCACACAUCAACAACAGUCACCCCACGAAGCAUCGUUACCCAUCACUCCACAAAAGCCGCGGCUCUUGCAGAGCAAAGGGGGAACCACUACUUCAAGGUCUCAGAGCAAGUGACGUCACCGAUCGAAACGCUAUUAGUGCGCACCACCGCUAACUAGCUAGCCAUUUCACAUCCGUUAUAUCAGCACCACCGCUAACUAGCAUCAAGAACUGUAAGGCUGCUGGGUUUUUCAGUUUCCCAUAUGUAUCAAGAAUGGUCCGACACCCAAAGGAGUCAACAUUAGGAGGGUGUUCUUAAUAUUUAGUAUGCUAGGUACUCAACAUGAGGAAGGUGUUCUUAAUAUUUAGUAUGCUAGGUACUCAACAUGAGGAAGGUGUUCUUAAUAUUUAGUAUGCUAGGUACUCAAUAUUAGGAAGGUGUUCUUAAUAUUUAGUAUGCUAGGUACUCAACAUGAGGAAGGUGUUCUUAAAAUUUAGUAUGCUCAGUAGUCAACAUUAAGGUGUUCUUAAUAUUUAGUAUGCUCGGUACUCAACAUUAGGAAGGUGUUCUUAAUAUUUAGUAUGCUCGGUACUCAACAUUAGGAAGGUGUUCUUAAUAUUUAGUAUGCUAGGUACUCAACAUUAGGAAGGUGUUCUUAAUAUUUAGUAUGCUAGGUACUCAACAUGAGGAAGGUGUUCUUAAUAUUUAGUAUGCUAGGUACUCAACAUGAGGAAGGUGUUCUUAAUAUUUAGUAUGCUAGGUACUCAAUAUUAGGAAGGUGUUCUUAAAAUUUAGUAUGCUCAGUAGUCCACAUUAGGAAGGUGUUCUUAAUAUUUAGUAUGCUCGGUAGUCAACAGUAGGAAGGUGUUCUUAAUAUUUAGUAUGCUCAGUAGUCAACAUUAAGGUGUUCUUAAUAUUUAGUAUGCUCGGUACUCAACAUUAGGAAGGUGUUCUUAAUAUUUAGUAUGCUCGGUACUCAACAUUAGGAAGGUGUUCUUAAUAUUUAGUAUGCUAGGUACUCAACAUUAGGAAGGUGUUCUUAAUAUUUAGUAUGCUAGGUACUCAACAUUAGGAAGGUGUUCUUAAUAUUUAGUAUGCUAGGUACUCAACAUUAGGAAGGUGUUCUUAAUAUUUAGUAUGCUCGGUAGUCAACAGUAGGAAGGUGUUCUUAAUAUUUAGUAUGCUCGGUACUCAACAUUAGGAAGGUGUUCUUAAUAUUUAGUAUGCUCGGUACUCAACUUUAGGUAGGUGUUCUUAAUAUUUUGUAUACUCGGUGUAUUUUAUGUGUUCUAUUCAUAUGAAGGGGAGAUAUGGUAUUCGUCCCAAACAGCACCCUUAUUUAUUUAACUAGGCAAGUCAGUUAAGAACAUAUUCUUAUUUUCAAUGACGGCCUAGGAACAGUGGGUUAACUGCCUGUUCAGGGGCAGAACGACAGAUUUGUACCUUGUCAGCUCGGGGGUUUGAACUUGCUUGAGUCCAAUGCUCUAACCACUAGGCUACCCUGCCGCCCCAACCCUAUUCCCUAUAUAGUGCACUGACUACUAGAGUACCGUUUGAGACUGCUACCAUUACGUUGAUUCUGACAACAUGAUCAGGGUACUUGGUUUGCCUCUUGGUUUUAUGUUGAAACAUUAACAGUUUUUAUUUAUUUAUAAUGAUAUUGUUACUGGCUGCGUCCUGGUCCCAAAAUAGCACCCGUUAUUCCCUAUUUAUAGUGCACUACUUUAGACCAGAGCCCUAUUCCCUAUUUAGUGCACUACUUUAGACCAGAGCCCUAUUCCCUAUUUAGUGCACUACUUUAGACCAGAGCCCUAUGGAACCCUAUUCCCUAUAUAGUGCACUACUUUAGACCAGAGCCCUAUUCCCUAUAUAGUGCACUACUUUAGACCAGAGUCCUAUUCCCUAUAUAGUGGUACUACUUUAGACCAGAGCCCUAUUCCCUAUUUAUAGUGCACUACUUUAGACCAGAGCCCUAUUCCCUAUAUAGUGCACUACUUUAGACCAGAGCCCUAUUCCCUAUUUAGUGCACUACUUUAGACCAGAGCCCUAUGGAACCCUAUUCCCUAUAUAGUGCACUACUUUAGACCAGACCCCUAUUCCCUAUAUAGUGCACUACUUUAGCCCAGAGUCCUAUUCCCUAUAUAGUGCACUACUUUAGACCAGAGCCCUAUGGAACCCUAUUCCCUAUAUAGUGCACUACUUUAGACCAGAGCCCUAUUCCCUAUAUAGUGCACUACUUUAGACCAGAGUCCUAUUCCCUAUAUAGUGGUACUACUUUAGACCAGAGCCCUAUUCCCUAUUUAGUGCACUACUUUAGACCAGAGCCCUAUUCCCUAUAUAGUGCACUACUUUAGACCAGAGCCCUAUUCCCUAUAUAGUGCACUACUUUAGACCAGAGCCCUAUUCCCUAUAUAGUGCACUACUUUAGACCAGAGCCCUAUUCCCUAUAUAGUGCACUACUUUAGACCAGAGCCCUAUUCCCUAUAUAGUGCACUACUUUAGACCAGAGCCCUAUUCCCUAUUUAGUGCACUACUUUAGACCAGAGCCCUAUUCCCUAUUUAGUGCACUACUUUAGACCAGAGCCCUAUUCCCUAUAUAGUGCACUACUUUAGACCAGAGCCCUAUUCCCUAUAUAGUGGUACUACUUUAGACCAGGGCCCUAUUCCCUAUUUAGUGCACUACUUUAGACCAGAGCCCUAUUCCCUAUAUAGUGGUACUACUUUAGACCAGAGCCCUAUUCCCUAUAUAGUGGUACUACUUUAGACCAGGGCCCUAUUCCCUAUUUAGUGCACUACUUUAGACCAGAGGCCUAUUCCCUAUAUAGUGGUACUACUUUAGACCAGAGCCCUAUUCCAUAUAUAGUGGUACUACUUUAGACCAGAGCCCUAUUCCCUAUAUAGUGGUACUACUUUAGACCAGGGCCCUAUUCCCUAUAUAGUGGUACUACUUUAGACCAGAGCCCUAUUCCCUAUAUAGUGGUACUACUUUAGACCAGAGCCAUAUUCCCUAUAUAGUGGUACUACUUUAGACCAGAGCCAUAUUCCCUAUAUAGUGGUACUACUUUAGACCAGAGCCCUAUUCCAUAUAUAGUGGUACUACUUUAGACCAGAGCCCUAUUCCAUAUAUAGUGGUACUACUUUAGACCAGAGCCCUAUUCCAUAUAUAGUGGUACUACUUUAGACCAGAGCCCUAUUCCAUAUAUAGUGGUACUACUUUAGACCAGAGCCCUAUUCCAUAUAUAGUGGUACUACUUUAGACCAGAGCCCUAUUCCCUAUAUAGUGCACUACUAUAGACCAGAGCCCUAUAGGGCCCUAUUCCCUAUAUAGUGGUACUACUAUAGACCAGAACCCUAUUCCCUAUAUAGUGGUACUACUUUAGACCAGAGCCCUAUUCCCUAUAUAGUGCACUACUUUAGACCAGAGCCCUAUUCCCUAUAUAGUGCACUACUUUAGACCAGAGCCCUAUUCCCUAUUUAGUGCACUACUUUAGACUAGGGCCGUCAGGGAUACCGACUCGUUGUUUUUUUAAAUCUUGAUUUUGUUUUGUUGACAGCGGAGUGGAAUGUAUAUAUGUGUACAGAGGAGGAAUCGUGUUUCAUGAUGACGUUUACAUUUAUUAAUACAUCGAUAUUUUACUGUGUAUCUGUCCCAAAUGGCACUCUUAUUCCCAAUUUUAGUGCACUACUUUUAAAGGGAAUGGGUUGCCAUUUUGGACGUAUUGUGUGUGUAUCUCUGACUGUGAACUACAACUGUGUGUGUUUUCUAAAUGCUGCUGGGGACUACUGCAUUAUGUGGAAGUAAAAUAUUUUAAAUCUGG